rnacentral:rRNA from 1 species
GGGUUGUGAGGUUAAGCGACUAAGCGUACACGGUGGAUGCCCUGGCAGUCAGAGGCGAUGAAGGGCGUGCUAAUCUGCGAUAAGCGCCGGUAAGGUGAUAUGAACCGUUAUAACCGGCGAUACCCGAAUGGGGAAACCCAGUGUGAUUCGUCACACUAUCAUUAACUGAAUCCAUAGGUUAAUGAGGCGAACCGGGGGAACUGAAACAUCUAAGUACCCCGAGGAAAAGAAAUCAACCGAGAUUCCCCCAGUAGCGGCGAGCGAACGGGGAGGAGCCCAGAGCCUGAAUCAGCAUGUGUGUUAGUGGAAGCGUCUGGAAAGGCGCGCGAUACAGGGUGACAGCCCCGUACACAAAAGCGCAUAUGCUGUGAGCUCGAUGAGUAGGGCGGGACACGUGGUAUCCUGUCUGAAUAUGGGGGGACCAUCCUCCAAGGCUAAAUACUCCUGACUGACCGAUAGUGAACCAGUACCGUGAGGGAAAGGCGAAAAGAACCCCGGCGAGGGGAGUGAAAAAGAACCUGAAA